rnacentral:rRNA from 1 species
GGCGGACGGGUGAGUAAUGUCUGGGAAACUGCCCGAUGGAGGGGGAUAACUACUGGAAACGGUAGCUAAUACCGCAUAACGUCGCAAGACCAAAGAGGGGACCUUAGGGCCUCUUGCCAUCGGAUGUGCCCAGAUGGGAUUAGCUAGUAGGUGGGGUAACGGCUCACCUAGGCGACGAUCCCUAGCUGGUCUGAGAGGAUGACCAGCCACACUGGAACUGAGACACGGUCCAG